AGCAGUGUAAUCCCAGGCUUGAGCAGGAAAUCAAUAGUUGUAGCCCCUGAAAUAUUGUAAAGAGAUGAAGAAAAUAUGAAUUUUUAAUUAUUUUUAAUGUCUUGGCUAUUUAAACUCACUGGACUUUUAAAAUGGAUUUCCCUAACAGGACUCAGGGAUCCUGCUGCUACCAGUUUGCUUGGUGACGUGAAGGCCAGCUAUGACUCUCACCCGGGGAAACCUUCCACCGAUUCUGCACCGUGCAGACGACGCAAUCAGAGCUUCUGUGCGGGGGACGUGCGGCAGCGGCUCCAGACAGAAAGAAAUGUGCAAAAAUGUGAAUCGUGCCAAAGAUUCAGCUCUCUGGAAGACCAGAUGCCCUGGAGAUCUCUUCUGGAGCAGAGACAGUCCUUCUGUAGCACAGUGGCCCCAGGUAGUGUAAUUCAUUCCUCCCUUGGUCACACCUUAAGCUCAAAUUUUUGGGCCUUUUUUUUUUUUUUUAAAAGAUUUUAUUUAUUUAUUUGA
rnacentral:lncRNA from 1 species